GAUGAACGCUGGCGGCGUGCCUAAUACAUGCAAGUCGAGCGAACAGACGAGGAGCUUGCUCCUCUGACGUUAGCGUCGGACGGGUGAGUAACACGUGGAUAACCUACCUAUAAGACUGGGAUACCUUCGGGAAACCGGAGCUAAUACCGGAUAAUAUAUUGAACCGCAUGGUUCAAUAGUGAAAGACGGUUUUGCUGUCACUUAUAGAUGGAUCCGCGCCGCAUUAGCUAGUUGGUAAGGUAACGGCUUACCAAGGCAACGAUGCGUAGCCGACCUGAGAGGGUGAUCGGCCACACUGGAACUGAGACACGGGCCAGACUCCUACGGGAGGCAGCAGUAGGGAAUCUUACGCAAUGGGCGAAAGCCUGACGGAGCAACGCCGCGUGAGUGAUGAAGGUCUUCGGAUCGUAAAACUCUGUUAUUAGGGAAGAACAAAUGUGUAAGUAACUAUGCACGUCUUGACGGUACCUAAUCAGAAAACCACGGCUAACUACGU
rnacentral:rRNA from 1 species